CUUUGACAUUCUUGACACGGAAGAGGAUGAUAUCUAUCAAGCUUGGAGGCUUAGGGCUACCAAGCGCUUGCGAGGUAUGCUCCAUGCCAUUCGCAAAAAAGGUGCCCGUCCAUAUUGGAUCCCACCAGAAGUUCUUGGUGAAUUGAUGAGACGUUGGGAUACUAAUGACUAUAUACAAUUACAAGCGAGAAAUACAGCUGCCAAGAAAUCGACUCGAGGUACCUCCCUUCACACUGCAGGAGGCACCACCUUUCCCGAAGCGAGGUUACACUUGAAUCAUUCACUUGGAAGACCAUCACGUAUGGAUGAGUUUUUUGAGCACACUCAUACUCGCAAAGAGGAUAGGACUCAAUGGGUUGAUGAACACUCCUGAAAGACAAAGGAUAUAUUUCAAGAGCGCAUGUUUCAAGCUGAGCAAGAACGGCAGGUUGCUAUAGAGGCUGGUGUAACUGAUCCACCGCCUGUCUCUGAGGAAAGCAUAUGGAUUGAGACAGUGGGUGGAAAGCGAAGAGGUAGGGUAUAUGGCAUGGGUGAGGUAAGAGAUUCUUCCAUGGUGCGACCUCGAGUUGAUGGGCCAACCACGACCAGCAGCACUGAUGUUUUGGAUCUUAGAGAACAAAUCGUAAUACUCAAUAGGGAAGUUGAACAACAUGCCGCUAAAUAUAGAGAGCUUGAAGACCGCUACCAAAGGGAGAAAAGAGAGUGGCAACAGACUGUUGAAUCCUUGCAUGAGGAUCUCAACACCAGUAACUCACAGAUGGAUCAUUUUAGUCAUCAAUUGAGCAGCUUGACUGAGUAUGUGAGGGCCAUGGGUCCUAGUAGUUCUAGAUCACGUGUUCCCCCGCCUCCUCCUUUUACUUUUCCAAGCUCUCAGAAAAGCACAGCUCCAGCCCUAGCCCCAGGUAGAAA